GUGGUUUUUCAGGGUGGGGCUCAGCACUGGAGGCAAGGAGGUUGAAGUGUCUUGCCUAAGGACACAACAGCACAUGACUAGAAUAGAGCAGGGUUCGAACCACCAACUCUUCGGUUAUUGGACAACCCACUCUACCUUUUGAGC